AACAAGCCCUGGGGCAUCUCCCCUCAGGCCAGUGGUGUUCCUCAAAACCACGGCACUGCUCUGGUGCCUGACACACGAGGAUUCACAUGGGACUUGGCUCACAAAAACAGGGCAGUUAUCCUCAGAAAGGGGCUGAGCUGGGCUGGGCUGAGCUGAGCUGAGCUGAGCUGAGCUGAGCUGAGCUGAGCUGAGCUUCCUGCCCAUCAUCCCUGGUCACUGCUGGCUGAAGGAGCUUCUGCUUUGGCACCCCAUUUCCCUGCCACAGCUCGGAUUUUCCCUCUCCUGAUGGCACAGUGGAGAGUGGGGGGAGGCUGCAGAGCUGUGGGCCAAAGAGAGGGCUUUCUCUGAAACGCUGGCUCCGGUGCGGGGCAUCGCUGUUUCCCACUGGCUGGCUUUUUUCCUCUGUCCCACACCGGGAAGAGAGCCGGGCACUUCUGCACGCUUCCCAGCACACCGCUGUUUUUGAGCACAAGCCCAGCCCACGGGCGCAGUGCCGUCUGUGCUUCUGGCUGCACGGGAGCCCAGCGGGGCCCAUCAUGGCCUCGCGUUCACGGCUCUUGGCCUCUGCUUUCAGUCGGAUACAUCCCCGGGAUACUGCUGGCCUUUCCAAGGGUCUCAGAGCGAGGUGCUAAUCCGGUUGCCCAUGCCAAUACAACCGACGACCGUCACCAUCCAGCACACCUCAAAGGCAGCCUCUCCGCUGGGCACCGUCAGCAGCGCCCCCCGAGAUUUCACUGUCUCUGGACUGGCUGAGGAAGGCAAAGAGGAAACUCUGCUGGGGACCUUCACUUACAACGUGCAGAAAGAACCGACCCAGACCUUCCCUCUGCAGAAUGGGAACCCCAGAGCCUUCCAGCUUUUGAAGCUCGGCAUACGGAGCAACUGGGGAAAACGAGGAUACACCUGCAUUUAUCGAGUGCAGGUGCACGGGAAGAUCGUGGGAGCAAGUGCUGACCACCAGACACAUGUGGACACCUUACCUGAAUAGUUAUUAAAGAGUUAGAUGGAGAAACAGGCCAGAGGGUUGUGGCUGUUGGUCUGCUGCAGGGCAAUGUCAUAUCAGAGGCCCUCUCCAAGCUGCCAAGUUCUGCCUCGUGCAGGCUGAGGCCUUCCUCAGGCUUUCCACUUUCCCUCCGCUUCAGGGACGCUUCCUAACUAAGCAAAAGGAGGUGAUGCUCCUGUAGCCUUUCCUUGUCACAGUUCCUUGACAAAAUCCUGCAGCAUGAGGGGCAACCCGCCAUCUCAUGCCAAGUAGGAGUCAUCAGACAGCCUGGCAGCAUUUGAGGGUCAUGAUCCCCAAAGUACUGGCCCAUUUCCUUCAGAUGGCACCUUGGGCCUGGGGACAGGGUCUGGUAGGGGUCCACAUGGGGUGCAGCCAUGUGUGGGACCCCUGAGGAGUGUCUGGGGUGUGUAAGGAGGUCCGAGCAGCCCAGCUGCUGCGGAGCGGGGAUACUGGCUCAGCUCCCUGUGCCCGCGCGCGCUCCCAGGCACAGCCCUCCGCUUCUGCCUUCUGCGUGUCUUUAAGAGAGCCACCGUUCCCCCAGCCUGAAAUGCCAAAACACAGCCAGGUCCCAGCUGAACGCAGAACACACAAACAUCUGGUUUUUUCAAGGGGGCAGAUUUGCCCAGUUCAGCCCUGUAUCUUCAACAGCAAGCACGCAAGGGUAUGGACCUACACCCAUUCGUCUCCGACUGAUGUAAACUUCAAAAGCUAAAGCCAACACUGCCACUGUCAGCCCUGCUACCCUGCUAAGCAUGAGAGGCCAGGAAACCAGUGUGGUCUUCUUCUCACUUCCGUGGGUGCAGCUUGG